UACAGAGGGUGCGAGCGUUAAUCGGAAUUACUGGGCGUAAAGCGUGCGUAGACGGUUAUUUAAGUCGGGUGUGAAAGCCCCGGGCUCAACCUGGGAAUUGCAUUCGAGACUGAAUAGCUAGGGUACGGUAGAGGGAAGUGGAAUUUCCGGUGUAGCGGUGAAAUGCGUAGAGAUCGGGAGGAACACCAGAGGCGAAGGCGGCGACCUGGACAGGUACUGACACUCAACUACGAAAGCGUGGGGAGCAAACAGG
rnacentral:rRNA from 1 species